GAUGAACGCUGGCGGCGUGCCUAAUACAUGCAAGUCGAGCGAACAGACGAGGAGCUUGCUCCUCUGACGUUAGCGGCGGACGGGUGAGUAACACGUGGAUAACCUACCUAUAAGACUGGGAUAACUUCGGGAAACCGGAGCUAAUACCGGAUAAUAUAUUGAACCGCAUGGUUCAAUAGUGAAAGACGGUUUUGCUGUCACUUGUAGAUGGAUCCGCGCCGCAUUAGCUAGUUGGUAGGGUAACGGCUUACCAAGGCAACGAUGCGUAGCCGACCUGAGAGGGUGAUCGGCCACACUGGAACUGAGACACGGUCCAGACUCCUACGGGAGGCAGCAGUAGGGAAUCUUCCGCAAUGGGCGAAAGCCUGACGGAGCAACGCCGCGUGAGUGAUGAAGGUCUUCGGAUCGUAAAACUCUGUUAUUAGGGAAGAACAAAUGUGUAAGUAACUAUGCACGUCUUGACGGUACCUAAUCAGAAAGCCACGGCUAACUACGUG
rnacentral:rRNA from 1 species